CCCCUCCUCUCUCUCAUCUCCUCAUUCCACUCCCUCUCUCUCUCACACUCUCUUGCUCUCUCUCUCUAGAAGAAGCAGAAGAAAAGAGAAGGAAAAGAAGGAAGAAAAGGAAGGAGAAGAAGAAAGAGAUCAAGCUAGGAAGGCUUUUGGACCUCUCCCUGUUCCUCUCUUCUCUCUUUGAAGCUAACAUAGAGGUAAGCUUCCAACCCUAGCUUAUGGAACUUAGGGUUUUUGAAUUUUUAGCUUUGGGAAUGGGGUCAAAUGG
rnacentral:lncRNA from 1 species